GGAAGUGAAUCCUGCUACUGCUGAGUGAGUGCUUGAAGCACUGUGUUCAGAAAGCUGCGUUUGACGGCCCCGGGGCUUUGAAAGAUGGACAGCCAAGGAAGAAAGGUGGUGGUUUGUGAUAACGGAACAGGGUUUGUCAAGUGUGGCUAUGCCGGAUCCAACUUCCCAGAGCACAUCUUCCCAGCACUGGUGGGCAGGCCCAUCAUCCGCUCCACAGCUAAAGUGGGCAACAUUGAGAUUAAGGAUCUGAUGGUGGGAGACGAAGCGAGUGAGCUGCGCUCAAUGCUGGAGGUCAACUAUCCCAUGGAGAACGGCAUCGUCAGGAACUGGGAUGACAUGAAGCACUUAUGGGAUUACACCUUCGGUCCGGAGAAGCUCAAUAUCAACUCGCGCAACUGCAAGAUCCUCCUCACAGAACCUCCCAUGAACCCAACCAAGAACCGUGAGAAGAUCAUAGAGGUCAUGUUUGAGACAUACCAGUUUGCAGGUGUUUACAUCGCCAUCCAGGCUGUUCUUACACUUUAUGCUCAAGGCCUGUUGACAGGGGUGGUGGUGGAUUCAGGCGACGGAGUCACCCAUAUUUGUCCUGUGUAUGAGGGCUUCUCUCUGCCCCAUCUUACAAGGAGACUGGACAUUGCAGGACGGGACAUUACACGCUAUCUCAUUAAGUUGCUCUUGCUGCGAGGUUACGCCUUCAACCAUUCGGCAGACUUCGAGACGGUACGCAUGAUGAAGGAGAACCUCUGCUACGUGGGAUACAACAUCGAGCAGGAACAGAAGCUUGCUCUGGAGACCACCGUAUUGGUGGAGUCCUACACGCUCCCUGAUGGCCGGGUUAUUAAGGUAGGAGGGGAGCGGUUCGAGGCCCCAGAAGCUCUGUUCCAGCCCCACCUCAUUAACGUGGAAGGGGUCGGAGUGGCUGAGCUUCUCUUCAACACCAUUCAAGCAGCAGACAUUGACACCAGGGCCGAGUUCUAUAAACACAUUGUUCUGUCAGGAGGAUCCACCAUGUACCCUGGUCUGCCCUCUCGACUAGAGAGGGAACUUAAACAGCUUUAUCUAGAGCGGGUACUGAAGGGUGAUGUUGACAAGCUCUCGAAAUUCAAGAUCCGGAUCGAGGACCCUCCCCGCCGCAAGCACAUGGUGUUUCUGGGUGGGGCGGUGCUGGCUGACAUCAUGAAAGACAAGGACAACUUCUGGCUGACGCGGGAGGAGUAUCAGGAAAAGGGCGUGCGCGUUCUGGAGAAGCUGGGCGUCACCGUCAGAUAAACACGGAAAAAACAUCCCACGACCCCGGCGUCUCUUUUACAUCAGCCUGUUCUGCCAGUGAAUCGUGUCAUGGGGUGGGGAUUUAUGGGUUUGGAUUAUGAAGGGUGCUGGUGGUUUUCUAUUGUGUUUUGUUUGGUCCUCUGGUCACAUAUGUUUGUGUGCUGUUGGCACAGCAGUAGUGGCGAUCAGGUCAUUCCUGCUUUGCAGUACAUUUUCUUCAGUCCCCUUCAUAUAAUGUAGAAUAUAAAUAUAAUU